rnacentral:siRNA from 1 species
GCACCGCACUUCUCCCGUACCGCA